CGGCCGCCGCCAAGCAGAUACAAAUGUUUAUUUGGUCUGACUUUGAAAUACCUCGGAGCAGCUGAAAUAAUUGAAGGCAGCCCUGUAAGAAGCAGCACUUCCAGACCUUCUCACGGGCAAACCCUCUGCUGGGACCGCCAAGGGCCCCCGCGAGACACCUGAGGGUCAGCACAGCCCCUCCCUCCCUGUGCCGUGCUGGCCGUGCCGCAGCUGGUCACCCGCACGAGGACCUCGAGAUUGCCCUGCGGACUGGCACUUCUCGAGGGAAGUCAUCGCAGCUGCCAUGGAGCCAGCAUUUGUCGGGGACCUGGCACGCAGGCCACCGGCUCUGGGAGAGGGCUGAGGAGCCGUGGGGCUCACGUUUCAGGGAUUAGCUUGUGUAACUUGACUUGUUCCCCCAAAUUCUACAAGUACAGAGAAUAUGCAGAAAUCUGUGAGAGAAACAACCUUCUGCAGCUCGUUGUUGUGGGGAUUAUAUUAGUAAGAUGCCUAGAAAAUACGAUUCAGAAGGAAUGUGGGUGCGUGUGACUUGGUGGUGGGUGGGCUCCACUCACCACCCUCCCUCCGCACCUGUCCGAGGCAUUUGAACCAGAGCAACUCCAUUUCGAAUAGGGGCCGGUAAAAUAAGGCUAAGACCUACUGGGCUGCAUUCCCAGAUGGUUAAGGCAUUCUAAGUCACAGGAUGAGAUACGAGGUCGGCACAAGAUACAGGUCAUAAAGACCUUGCUGAUGAAACAGGCUGCAGUAAAUAAGCUGGCUAAAACCCAAAAUGGCAACAAGAUGUGUCCUCUGGUGGUCCUCACUGCUACACUCCCACCAGCACCAUGACAGUUUACAAAUGCCAUGGCAACAUCAGGAAGUUACCCUAUAUGGUCUGAAAAGAGGAAGCAUGAAUAAUCCACCUCCUGUUUAGCAUAUCAUCAAGAAAUAACCAUAAAAAUGGGCAACCCACAGCCCUUGGGGCUGCUCUGUCUAUGGAGUAGCCGUUCUUUUACCCCUUUACUUUCCUAAUAAACUUACUUUCACUUUA